rnacentral:rRNA from 1 species
UACGGAGGGUGCGAGCGUUGUCCGGAAUCACUGGGCGUAAAGGGCGCGUAGGUGGCUUUUCAAGCGCGCGGUGAAAGCCCGGGGCUCAACCCCGGGUCGGCCGUGCGGACUGGGAGCUCGAGCACUGUAGGGGCGGGUGGAAUUCCGGGUGUAGUGGUGAAAUGCGUAGAGAUCCGGAGGAAUACCAGAGGCGAAGGCGGCACCCUGGGUCUGACCUGACACUGAUCCGCGACAGCAUGGGGAGCGAACGGG